AUUAUUUACAGAAUAAUAAGAAUAUAAUAAUAUUAAUACGAGUCGGUUGUGUUAAUUUCGGAUUUAUAAAGGUUAAACCGAGUUCACCCGAUCUAGGGUUACCACUUUUGGAAGGGUAUAAAAAGGGAAAGUAAGAGGAGAAAUUUCAGAAAACCCUAAGUUUCCCUUUCUCCUCUUCAGCCGUCAUCUCCCUCUCUCUCAAUUUCUCUCUCCUCUCUCGCUGGUUUCUUCUCCCUCACCGAUUCUUCCUCUCUUCCCUUGCUUCGUCUCUCUCGCUUGUUUCGUCUCCCUCGCCUACUUCUUCUCUCUCGCAGUGGGCUGCUGUGCGAGGCUCGCGAGUGCGAGGCGUUGCAAGCGUGUCGGUGCAGGUGCGGGACGAGGGUUGUGCGAGCGAGGCUAAGGGAUAGAGUGUAGUGCGAGUGUUGUGCGGAUUGUGCGAGUGAGUGGAGUCGAGGGCUGGAUCGAAGGCUGUGCGAGCGAGGCUAAGGGCUCGAAUGAGUCGAGUAUUGUGCGGUUGUGCGAAAGGCGCGCGACGAGGGAGCCCGUGAGUGUUCGAGGGACGUGCGAGGCUGCUGUUGCUGCUGCGCGAGGCUGCUGUUGCUGCUGUGCGAGUUGUGCGACGAAGCUCGAAGCGUGUGCGAGGCUGCUGUGCGAAUCGAGGGCUGGUUCGAGCGUAGCCGUGCGGCUGCUGUGGUAGAGCGUGGGGUUGUGUGCCGUUGACGGAAAUCGGUCGCCGGAACUUGAUUUCCGGCAAGCUUAACGGUCCCAAUUUCAUAAGCGGAACGUUCGAUUAAGACAGCGAAAAUUCUCCGUUACAAGACUAGGUGUGCUGGUGCUGCUGCAUAAUCUCGAGCAUACGGGGACUAGGCUUGGUAUUUACAUUUAAAGCAUUUUGAAAUAAGUAUUAUUGGU